GACGUAGGUGGCGAACGUUAUCCGGAAUUACUGGGCGUAAAGGGUCCGCAGGUGGGAUGAAAGGUCUGGCGUGAAAGCCCGAGGCUCAACUUCGGGAUGCCGUUAGAAACCGUCAUUCUAGAAUCACGGAGAGGUCGGUGGAAUUCCCGGUGUAGUGGUGGAAUGCGUAGAUAUCGGGAGGAACCCCUAAAGCGAAGGCAGCCGGCUGGCCGAUGAUUGACACUGAGGGACGAGAGCGUGGGGAGCGAACAGG
rnacentral:rRNA from 1 species